CCAAUACUACAAAGGAUCCUUCCUCUGAAUUAGGUACCAGAGCUAACUGCGAACAAGGCUAGAGAUCUUCCUUUACUAUGUGGAAAGACCUGAGUCCUGCCAAGAAGAGCUCAGCCAGUGGCAACCACCAGCACUGACCAGUCCUGAGGAAGGAAGAGACCCCACUCAGAGGAAACGCUGGGGAAAAUCCACAUAAAUGGGCACAAACAGAGCUGGUUAAGUGGGAUACUGCUUAGUCCUCACAUCUGUUCUCUGUUUACCCCAUCUUGCUCACUUGAAGAAAGUAGAUGGACACAACCUGGCAUACAGACAUGAGGUGCUGAGAAGUGUCACACAGAAAAUAAUGCUGCAGCCAGUGGCAGGGAACGCAGCCUCUCUUCUGGAGUCCAACU